GUCAACUUUGCAGGAAGGACUGUAAUUCCAGUACAUCGCUAUAGGGAUAAAUGCAGUAGUGAUAGCACAAGACAUAUCUGGCAAAAACAAUGCUAUCCAUCACAGAAGUUUAGAAAUUACUUCUAUGAGAGAGAGAAAAGAAAUAAUGCGACAGACAACAUAAACAUUCUGAUCUACAGGUGAAAGUGAAUUCACAACCAUGUUUGCAAAAUAAAUUCAUCAUCUGGGAUAGCACCACAAGCAACUUUAUAUUUACAGAUUGUCCAAAUUUUGCAAAUAGGUCACAGCCAGCCCUCAGGUUUCAUGAGACACAGGAGUGAGAUGAAUAGGUAGAAGAGAAGCGUGUGGUCCUGAUGAUCCCCAAAAGGAAAAACACCGCAGCGGCACCCGUCAGGCUCGGGCUGCUGAGUCGCCGCCGCGCCAGGAAUUCAUCCCGACGCCAGGGCAGGACCUCGACCACUGCUCAGUGCCAACCUCUGCUAAGGGCUCAGGCACCGUGCCAGCAGCAGCGAGCGGCAGAGCACGGGGGAAAAUAUACAACCACUGGGUAUACUUUGAGUCACGAUGGCAUCUCUCGCACUUCAAUCUGGGACUUAAUCCAAGUUAUUCAAAAACUUGACAGAAGAAUGGGGCAUUUCAGCUUGUGUGCGAUACGCUGUGUAUCUCCUUGCAUUGCUCAGUGUCAUGAACAAAACUAUGUAAGAGAAGGAAUGUGAAUUUUUUUUCUUUACUAUUUCAGCUGUUUUGUGGGUGUUGCAUAUGACCUAGAGAACACUGAGGAUAAAGCCAGCUGAAAAUUAUCGAGAAAAGGAAUUGUAUCAAUAAGAAAACGCCUAUCUGCCUCAGGCAGAAUGUUUCAGAAGAACAUAAUACCAGUUUUGAAUACGUUUCUAUCAGAAACAGGCUCCACACUGGAUUUUUUUCAGGGGGGGGAAAGAAAUCAUACCAGUACUAAGAGCAUUAAGUUAGUGGUCAGGAGGAGAGACCUCCCUCGCGGCUGGCCGUCUGCCGCAGGCUGCCUGCGUCGGGAGCCGCGAGCCCCGUCGUGCGCCGCAGCGAUUGCUGCUGGGGGCCGGGGGCCUCGUGCAAGGCUGCGCUCAGCCGCCCCUGGCAGGACGCGGUUGCACAACCCAGGGAUGCUUGCUGCAGCCUUUGUUGUGGUGCUUGUUUUAAUACGUUAAUCUUCUCCAGCCAACUGUGUUGCAUUAUCAAUCUUUCAUUAACAUAUUCCCUUCUUUCUGAUUUUUUUUUUAAUUGAAGGAUUAGUGCAGCUGUGUCUCAUCAGACCUCUUGUGUCUUUUUCUGGGACUCUGUAAGGGACCCUGAUUAAAGACUGUCUCAGCUGCUGUUCUCUUCUGCAUUUUUCCUUCCAUGUUGCCACUGAAUGUUAAAAAUCUUAUUGUUCUCUUUAGUAAUUAUGUUAGUGCUUGGGCACAUUAAAAAACAAGAUUUUUUUUUAAUGAA